CGAAUAUUUCUAUUAUAAAAAAUCAAAAAUGAGUUUGUGCUAAAUAUUAAUAGUUCAGUAAUUUUUAACUGUGGCCAUUCCUUGAAAAUUUUAUGAUGAUGGGAAUUUUUGCAAUAUUGCAUAUAUGUAUAUUAUCCCAAAAAAUAUGCCAACCUCAUUAAAAAAAGGACAGAUAGGUUUUAACAUAUUGCCAGCAGUGGCUGUUACAGAGGACAGUAAUGCCUUGUUUUUACUAAAUGGAAACAGAACAAAAAUAUAUAUUUUUAAUUAUACAGAAUGGUUCAAAACUAUAUGUCGGAAAUGUGGGGGCAGAUGGAGGGGACCUGGAUGGGCAGAUUUCGUAUGGGAA
rnacentral:lncRNA from 1 species